AAAAUCCUUUACGUCACGUCGAUCCGUCGAACGGCUUUCGCUUUCGAGCUUGAGCCGAUCCGGAUCCACGCGAUCUCCUUCUCGGGGGAGACAUCAUGUGCAACAGGGUUUCUCGGUUUUCUCCGAGUCUCCCGCCCCACUUCUUCUCUGAUUCUUACAGUCUGAACAUACCUUCUGUCGCAAGACGGAAGAAAAAACAAACAAAAA
rnacentral:misc_RNA from 1 species